CGUGCAGGCGGGAGAGUAAGUCAGAUGUGAAAUGCCAAGGCUUAACCAUGGAACUGCAUCUGAAACUAUUUUUCUUGAGUGCUGGAGAGGAAAGCGGAAUUCCUAGUGUAGCGGUGAAAUGCGUAGAUAUUAGGAGGAACACCAGUGGCGAAGGCGGCUUUCUGGACAGUAACUGACGCUGAGGCGCGAAAGCGUGGGGAGCAAACAG
rnacentral:rRNA from 1 species